CACACACAAAAGCUCCAAGUCGACCUAACACAUUACACAUACACAAAAGCUCCAAGUCACCUAAUACACAAAAAAAAACCCUAAUCAGGGUUUUAUAUACUCCCCAAGCUCGGGUCGAGACCACACAACUCAUUUAACUAAAUAAAAUUUGAACUGUGUCAGAUGAAAGAUGAAGCAAGUCAAACAACCAAUGUGGGUGGAAGCACUCCUAUUACUGAAUCUCUCGAUUCAACACUGGAAGUUGAACAAGAUCCAGUGACUGUGAAGAGGAAAGCUAUACAACUAAGAUCUGCUGCUUGGCCGCAUUAUGAUAAGCUCAUAGAAGAUGGAAUUAAUAAAGCAAAGUGCAAGUAUUAUGGUAAAGUUCUCUUAGCUGAUCCAACUAAAAAUGGAACAACUGGACUGAAUAAACAUUUGAAAACUUGUCCUAGAAAUCCAAAUAAGGUUGACACUUCCAAUUCCAAGUACAAACAAUCAAAUUUAAACUUUCCAUUAGAAGGUGAAAAGGGUGAUGGGACAAAUUUAAAUCGGAAUGUGCAUUUAGCACCGGGGGCCAUAUUCUUGAUUCAUUUAGGAGUUUUUUGACUUUGAAAUUGGUGCAAGUUGUUAUUUAUCUUCAAGAUUGGCGUCGAAAUGAGCCUUAUCCCGUAAAUGUUGAAGAAGAUUUUGAUGAUCUUAUGAAACUUGAACUUGGUAUGUUUUUUUUAUUUUUAUACUUUUUAUUUAGUUUAAUUUUUGACACAUCUUAAAUUCUUUUAAGAUAUGACUGAUAGCUUAAAAGAUUCCCUCGUUCUUGAUUUAUAAUCGCAAGUUGCCUUGGCCUUAGGUAUCCAUUGAAUAUUUAAUUUAAUUUAGUUUGAUGUUCCACCAAUUCUCCACUUUGGUGCUGGGUUUGUGCUUUCUCUUUAAUUUUGUUGGUUCUUAAAACUAAAGGCGACAUUGCUAUUUGACAACUGAUCCUCUUGUUGGAUUCUGUUGGAUUUGUGCUUUCUCUUUUUCCUACUUGACUGGGUGUUUACUUCCGUUGCAUAACACUUUUUCUAGAAGUUUGAGUAUAUUUUAGUAGCCUCUUUUUCUUCUAGAGGUAGAUGACCAGACUUUACUUUAUGUACUGCCAAUAUAAUAGCCUCUUUUUCUAGAUUUUUCAAUCUCAGUGGUAUCAAUGGUACUUACUUUCUAGAUUUAAGCUUCUACGUUGCAAAACUUGCUACUGCUACUUAUUUUAGAUUGUUAUGGUAGGAAAAAACGAAAGGCUUGAUCAGGUUAUGAAUUUCCUAUGGAUAGAUAUCUCUUUUCUGUACCAUUGUGCUAAGAUUCCUGGGUUUAUGGAUGAGCUGAGUGUUGCUUGCUGUUCUAUACCUUGCAUUUACAAUGAAUAAUUUUACUACUUAUCUGUUCAUGGAAG